AUACAGAGGGUGCAAGCGUUAAUCGGAUUUACUGGGCGUAAAGCGCGCGUAGGUGGCUAAUUAAGUCAAAUGUGAAAUCCCCGAGCUUAACUUGGGAAUUGCAUUCGAUACUGGUUAGCUAGAGUAUGGGAGAGGAUGGUAGAAUACCAGGUGUAGCGGUGAAAUGCGUAGAGAUCUGGAGGAAUACCGAUGGCGAAGGCAGCCAUCUGGCCUAAUACUGACACUGAGGUGCGAAAGCAUGGGGAGCAAACAGGAUUAGAUACCCUGGUAGUCCAUGCCGUAAACGAUGUCUACUAGCCGUUGGGGCCCUUGAGGCUUUAGUGGCGCAGCUAACGCGAUAAGUAGACCGCCUGGGGAGUACGGUCGCAAGACUAAAACUCAAAUGAAUUGGCGGGG
rnacentral:rRNA from 1 species